GCCCACUGCCGACCCCGACGGCCCCGCCCACUUUCCCGCCCGCGCCCACUGUCGGGCUUAGGAAGCCUAGAAACUGGCAUAUGGUUCUGAUUAAUCAAUUGUCUAUUUAAAGUGUGUGUGUGUGCGCGCGCAGCUCGAUAAAUGAUCUGUGGAGACCGGGAGAUUGCCCCAGGCAGAAAACCGUUUCCGCCGGAGCAAGAGUCUGCGGAGACCCGAGUACCAGCCCGCGGCGCACGGCGGACUCUAGGAGUGGGAGGCACUCGGCUGAGGAUGACAGCUCUGUCCUGCCCGGGCCCCCUGUCCUGGGAGCUUGAAGGGUUGAUGAAUGCCUUGGUGGACGCUGAGCUAAGGACUGAUAGGUCGCCAGAGGUGUUCGGGCAGCCUCGAGGGUGCUGGGCUGCGCGUGGACCGCAGCAAGGAAGUCCUGAGCUGCCGCUGGGCCUUUGGACCAGGAUUUCCUUGUGACUACUAUGAAGGUCGAGAACCAUGCAAAAAGAGACAACAAUAUUGAAGCUAAAGUAAACGCUCUGCAGAUCAUGAUGCCAAACAACUAAAUUUUCUCCCUGAAACUAUUCAUGGAGCACAAAUUGAUUACUACCUUAAAUUGACACUGGAGAAGCUGUAAAGAGACAGCUGCAUUGUUCUAAAUUUCAUGUGGGUAAGUCAUGGUGUGUGCCAAUCCUAAUACUGUCCUUGGAUCAGUGACACAGGGAAGGUGGGGCAGGCUCUACAGUGCCUUAUGGGUAAAAGCUACUUGCUCUGUAAAACUGACCCUCAGGACCUGUAUGGAAUUUAUUCUUGGCCUGGGUUAGGAUUCUGGGUUCAAAGCAUCUGACAGGGGUUAUUAAUUGUUCUCAUUCUUGUUUAUGUCAUAGGGGUAGUAAAACUGGUCCACUGCAUUCUAUCCAGGGUCUGAAAUGCUUCUGCACAGCUACUUUCCUCAUCAGAUGAUCCUCAUGGUGAUACAACAGAAAGGCUGAGAAGACUUCAUGAUACAGUUGGCCAUGUAGAGGACUGAACAAUCGAUCUCAAAGUGGUGAAGAUCUGGAUUUCUAGACUUCCCUAAAUUCACCAACUUCUCACAAGCAAGAAAAUGAUCAGAAAGGAAGACUGAGAGACAAUAUGCAGACAUACAAUGACCAGACCACAUGUAAACUGAGAAGCCCUGACCCACACCUCUGUAGGAACUGGCCCAGAAUGGUCGGGGCUUGGUCUAUGACUGCCACGUUCCCCACUUUUGCUAUUUCCAAAUCAGAACCAAUCAGAGAGAGCCAAAUAUGUUCCCAAAGCAAAUCUCAUAAGAUGCCCGACUUCUAGGUAGCCUACCUUCCGCUUCCCCCUGCCAACAACUUCCAAGCACAACGUGCCUGAAGCCUCUCUCCCUCACCCCCUUUUUUUACUGUAAAGCUUUUCCCUCCUCUGCCUGCCUUCGAGUUUCUGUCAAAACCAACUGAUGGUGGUUGACUCUCUUACUAUAGCAAGUUCAGAAUAAAUAACCUCUGC
rnacentral:lncRNA from 1 species